UUAAGAAGCCUCGAGUUAUCGCUCGAGGUUUUUUUUCGUCUACAUUUCUAUUAUUGCUAAAAUCGCAAAAAUCCUCUGCGUUUUACGCUCUUUUUCCGCAACAGUCUGAAGCCCAUAAUCACCUCAGUUAACGAAAAUAGCAUUAUAAGAGGCAUAUUAUGGCUAUCCCUGCAUUUGGUUUAGGUACUUUCCGUCUGAAAGACGACGUUGUUAUUUCAUCUGUGAAAACGGCGCUUGAACUUGGUU
rnacentral:rRNA from 1 species